GGGUAAGGGUGAGACUGUGAGGGGGUAAGGGUGAGACUGUGAGGGGGUAAGGGGUGAGACUGCAGGGGUAAGGGUCAGACUGAGGGGGUAAGGGUCAGACUGUGCAGGGAUUGAUGGGGUAAGGGUCAGACUGUGUAGGGGUAAGGGUCAGACUGUGAGGGGGCAAGGGUCAGACUGUGAGGGGGCAAGGGACAGACUG